AAUGAUCUCAAGAGGGCAAAAGAAGAGCAUUCAGUCAGCAGGAGAACAGCAGGAGAACACAGAGAACAGCACAUCCAAAAAAACCUGCACAUCUACAGGGAACAGGUAAUCUAAACUGAACAGCUCAUUCAGAGAGAACAGUUCAUCAACAGAGAACAGCGAAUCUAAAGUGAACAUACAUCUACAGCGAAGAGCUCAUUUACAGCAAACAGCACAACUAAAGAGCACAGAAUGUCUUCAGAGAAUGUCUUAUCUACAGAGAACAUCACAUCUACAGAGGAACAGCACAUUUACAUGGAAGAGCUCAUCUACAGACAGCAGAAUAUCUUCAGAGAACAGCUAGUCUACAGGAAACAGCACAUUUAAAGAGAACAGCACAACUACCAAGAAGAGCAACUAGCAACUAGCAACUUUUACAGGGAACAGCUUAUCUACAGAGGAACAGCACAUCCAAAAAGUACAGUACAUCCACAGGGAAUAGCUCAUUUACAGAGAACAUCACAUCUACAGAGGAACAUCACAUCUACAGAGGAACAUCAUAUCUACAGAGGAACAUCAUAUCUACAGAGGAACAUCUCAUAUUCAGAGGAACAUCACAUCUACAGAGGAACAUCACAUCUUCAGAGGAACAUCACAUCUUCAGAGGAACAUCACAUCUUCAGAGGAACAGCUCAUAUUCAGUCUUUCUGAAGCGAAGUUCAGUGAAAAGCAGCUCUGGUGAUAAAACGUUUUAUUUCUGUGUAAAAUGAAACUGUGGCAGAAGAGGAAAACAGAUGGGACUGUUCGCAAUGAGACUCUGCUCUUAUUAACUACUGCUUCAGACUCACACACACACACACACACACACACAUCCGUGACGUUAAUCACUGCAAUGGUUUCUGGUUUGAGAUUCAUCACAGUGUAAAUCACACUGUGGUCUUAAACAUCAUUUCGGUAAAAAGAGCUGGAAACAGAAGCAGCAGAUAAACACGUCCGAUGCCAAGUUUGCGUAAGAACAGGCCUGAAAUCUUCAAUGGAAAAAUUUUCUUGUUAUGUUCUCCAGAUGGACGAAGACACGUCGUGCAUGAGAUCAUUCCUUACCAUUAGGGUUGAGGUUCCAGCUGAGAAAAGCUGCAUCUGCUGUGUAGUCACACGUCGUCUCCUGAAAACUACACGAGCCUGGUUUUGUACUCACCGAGAAUGCUGAGGAAGACGUAGGGAAUCAUCUUCUCCUGAGUGAAGAGCUCCAUUCUCCUCAGCCAGAGCACAGCGUGUCUCCCAGCCUCGGCUUCACAGGUGAACUGAUGUGACCUCUCCGAAAC